UACGAAGGGGGCUAGCGUUGCUCGGAAUCACUGGGCGUAAAGGGUGCGUAGGCGGGGCUUUAAGUCAGGGGUGAAAUCCUGGAGCUCAACUCCAGAACUGCCUUUGAUACUGAAGAUCUUGAGUUCGGGAGAGGUGAGUGGAACUGCGAGUGUAGAGGUGAAAUUCGUAGAUAUUCGCAAGAACACCAGUGGCGAAGGCGGCUCGCUGGGACGUUACUGACGCUGAGACGCGAAAGCGUGGGGAGCAAACAGG
rnacentral:rRNA from 1 species